rnacentral:rRNA from 1 species
UACGUAGGGUGCGAGCGUUAAUCGGAAUUACUGGGCGUAAAGCGUGCGCAGGCGGUUUUGUAAGUCAGAUGUGAAAGCCCCGGGCUCAACCUGGGAAUGGCAUUUGGGACUGCAAGGCUUGAGUGCGGCAGAGGAGACUGGAAUUCCUGGUGUAGCAGUGAAAUGCGUAGAUAUCAGGAGGAAUACCGAUGGCGAAGGCAGGUCUCUGGGCUGAUACUGACGCUCAUGCACGAAAGCGUGGGGAGCAAACAGG